CCGCCCGCCCGCCCGCCCGCCAUGGGCUGCGGGAACUCCACGGCCACCAGCGCGGGCGGCAGAGAUUCAGGUUUCAUUUGGACCUAAAGCUCAGGCUCUGUGAACCCAAGAGAACCAGUACUUAAGGUACUGCAGGGACAGCAAAAGAUGUGACAGAAGAAUCGGUAUCAGAUGAUGACAAAAGGAGGAAUUAUGGGGGUGU